rnacentral:lncRNA from 1 species
GGGGAGUCUGGUUGGCUUCCAUCUAUGGGGUCGCACAGAGUCGGACACAACUGAAGCGACUUAGCAGCAGCAGCAGCAGAAAGGAAGCCAGAGGUCUGAAUAAAUUGACAUUUCUUACCCAGGCAAGCCAAGAUAAUGGACCCAGGAGGAGGCCCUCAGUAGCUUCUAAUCUUCUAGGCUGAUACCUAUCUUAAGCUGCAGGAGUAAAUGUUAAUAAGUAUGCUCUAUACUCUUUCAUAUACCUAUUCUGCAAUGUAGUUUGAACUGACCGGCUCACCUUUCUGCAGAAGUUUUUUAAGACUACCAGCUGCCUGUUUCAGUCAACAUUUAAUUUUGCAGUUCUUACCAUUCUUUCAAGCCCUUUUAUGAUACACUCUGAAAUUCAAGUUCUGUCUGUUUAAAUGUUUUUUUCCAACUUCCUGUUCUAAUGGAAGCCUGGUUGUUCCCUAACAGCAGUGCUUCCUCUGCAGUUCCUCAAUUGCUAGUUUUUGUCUCCCGCAACCCAUUUACCUCUCUGUAUGCCAUUUCUUCUCUAUUCUGUCAAAACCUCAACUCUCUUGAAAUGCGUGUCACUCAACUACUGUGUAUUGUCCAUCUCUGUUUCUGUCAUCUGCUGGUUUCCUGUGCACUCACAUUUACUCACUUGUUUUUACUACCCUGAAUAUUCCCAAGGAAUAUGAAGUCAGUAUUUUUUGACCAUAGAUACCCUGUAUGUAGAAUUGCUUUGGUGUGGACUAGAAAUAUAUAUAUCUGUUUUAAGUUGUGAGAAAAAGUGUGAAGUUAAAAUGUUAUGUAGCCUUGAUUAAAGGGAAAUCUGAAAGACAAAGAAUCUUGCAUAGAGAGAUGAAUGUCUCCCUAGAUUUAGAGAGAUUUUUCAUUGAUGGUGUGUACUAUGUUAGAUCUUAUUAGGAACUCAGAAGAAAAUUUAAACCAAAAAGAGCUUUAAAUAGUAACAGCAUUUUCAUGACCAUGAAUCCCAUAAGACUAUAUUUCAUUUUCAGCUCUGUAUCCUGAGUGACAGAAUUGCUUUUUAAAUGUUUUUCCAUUCAAUAUAAAUAAAAUAGUAUGUUCAUAUUGUUAGGUUGUUUUUAGAAACUAGACUGUCUAUCUUCACCUCUGAUGUUAUAGAACUGGAG